rnacentral:rRNA from 1 species
ACCUGACUGCUAUCGGAUUGAUACUAAGCCAUGCGAGUCUUUGUAGUAAUACAAGGCAUACGGCUCAGUAACGCGUAGUCAACCUACCCUAUGGACAAGAAUAAUCUCGGGAAACUGAGCAUAAUUCUUGAUAGAUCAUAAUGCCUGGAAUGGUUUAUGGUUAAAAUGAUUCGUCGCCAUAGGAUGGGACUGCGGCCUAUCAGCUUGUUGGUGAGGUAAUGGCCCACCAAGGCGAUUACAGGUACGGGCUCUGAGAGGAGAAGCCCGGAGAUGGGUACUGAGACAAGGACCCAGGCCCUAUGGGGCGCAGCAGGCGAGAAAACUUUGCAAUGUGCGAAAGCACGACAAGGUUAGUCCGAGUGAUUUCUGCUAAAGAGAUCUUUUGCUAGUUAUAAAACCACUAGUGAAUAAGGGGUGGGCAAGUUCUGGUGUCAGCCGCCGCGGUAAAACCAGCACCUCAAGUGGUCAGGAUGAUUAUUGGGCCUAAAGCAUCCGUAGCCGGCUCUGUAAGUUUUCGGUUAAAUCCAUAUGCUCAACGUAUGGGCUGCCGAAAAUACUGCAGAGAUAGGGAGUGGGAGAGGUAGACGGUACUCGGUAGGAAGGGGUAAAAUCCUUUGAUCUAUCGAUGACCACCUGUGGCGAAGGCGGUCUACCAGAACACGUUCGACGGUGAGGGAUGAAAGCUGGGGGAGCAAACCGGAUUAGAUACCCGGGUAGUCCCAGCUGUAAACGAUGCAGACUCGAUGAUGCAUUGGCAUAUAGCCAGUGCAGUGUCGCAGGGAAGCCGUUAAGUCUGCCGCCUGGGAAGUACGUACGCAAGUAUGAAACAUAAAGGAAUUGGCGGGGGAGCACCACAAGGGGUGAAGCCUGCGGUUC